GCUUCCAUUAGGAAGAAUCUGGAGGACAGGUGCUGCAUGGCUGUCGUCAGCUCGUGUCGUGAGAUGUUCGGUUAAGUCCGCAACGAGCGCAACCCUUGCCUUUACGUUGCCAGCAGUUCGGCUGGGCACUCUAAAGGGACUGCCGGUGUUAAACCGGAGGAAGGUGGGGAUGACGUCAAGUCCUCAUGGCCUUUAUGACCAGGGCUACACACGUACUACAAUGGCCGAUACAAAGGGCAGCGACAUUGCGAAAUGAAGCCAAUCCCAUAAAUUCGGUCUCAGUCCGGAUUGGAGUCUGCAACUCGACUCCAUGAAGUUGGAAUCGCUAGUAAUCGUGGAUCAGCAUGCCACGGUGAAUACGUUCCCGGGCCUU
rnacentral:rRNA from 1 species